AUCCAGCUGCCGAGUACCAAAAUAGGACGAAAUGUGCAUCCUGGAU
rnacentral:hammerhead_ribozyme from 1 species